rnacentral:rRNA from 1 species
GACGAACGCUGGCGGCGUGCUUAACACAUGCAAGUCGAACGGAAAGGCCUCUUUCGGGGGGUACUCGAGUGGCGAACGGGUGAGUAACACGUGAGUAACCUGCCCUUGACUUUGGGAUAACUUCAGGAAACUGGGGCUAAUACCGGAUAGGAGCUCCUGCUGCAUGGUGGGGGUUGGAAAGUUUCGGCGGUUGGGGAUGGACUCGCGGCUUAUCAGCUUGUUGGUGGGGUAGUGGCUUACCAAGGCUUUGACGGGUAGCCGGCCUGAGAGGGUGACCGGCCACAUUGGGACUGAGAUACGGCCCAGACUCCUACGGGAGGCAGCAGUGGGGAAUAUUGCACAAUGGGUGGAAGCCUGAUGCAGCAACGCCGUGUGCGGGAUGACGGCCUUCGGGUUGUAAACCGCUUUCGCUCAUGACGAAGCUUUGUGUGACGGUAGUGGGUAAAGAAGCACCGGCUAGCUACGUG